UGAAAUUUCCUGGCCGUGGCGUCUCACGUCUUUAAUUGCGGCAAGCUCGGAGGACGGCUUAUAAUUAGCAACAGGCCGAGUGAAAACGGCAGGAGAGGAAGGAAGGCGAAGCAAACCAUCGACGCAUUUAAGCGCUGCGUACGCACACGUUGUACUCCCUACUUAACUAGCGAGUUGCGGAGGAGUGUAGUAUAUAGCCAGCCGCUGCUCUCCUCGGUCCAUCGGCGACCUGCUUCUCCUCUCUUCUCUCGCGGCGCCGCGUUGCUCGAUCUCUUCCAUGGGGUUAUGAAAGCCUGCGAGUUGCUGCUGGAGGAUCGAGUUUGACCGGAAGGCGCAAUGUGGAACUGCUCUGCGCCGUCCUCCCUCUUGCGGCCGUUCAGCGAUGACUAUGUGAAAUGCGAGUCCUCUAAUUCGGCAGCUGGAACCGCAGGUUUCGACAAGAUGUA